CCUACGGGUGGCAGCAGUGAGGAAUAUUGGUCAAUGGACGAAAGUCUGAACCAGCCAAGUAGCGUGAAGGAUGACUGCCCUAUGGGUUGUAAACUUCUUUUAUAUGGGAAUAAACCUUUCCACGUGUGGGAUUUUGUAUGUACCAUAUGAAUAAGGAUCGGCUAACUCCGUGCCAGCAGCCGCGGUAAUACGGAGGAUCCGAGCGUUAUCCGGAUUUAUUGGGUUUAAAGGGAGCGUAGGUGGAUUGUUAAGUCAGUUGUGAAAGUUUGCGGCUUAACCGUAAAAUUGCAUUUGAUACUGGCAGUCUUGAGUACAGUAGAGGUGGGCGGAAUGCGUGGUGUAGCGGUGAAAUGCUUAGAUAUCACGCAGAACUCCGAUUGCGAAGGCAGCUUACUGGACUGCAUCUGACAUUGAGGCUCGAAAGUGUGGGUAGCAAACAGGAUUAGAUACCCUUGUAGUC
rnacentral:rRNA from 1 species